rnacentral:tRNA from 1 species
GGCCCGCUGGCCAAAUGGUAAGGCGCCAGAUUUCGGGAAUGAAAUACUCUGGAGAUUGUGCGUUCGAGCCGCACGUGGGUCG